AACGAACGCUGGCGGCAUGCCUAACACAUGCAAGUCGAACGAGACCUUCGGGUCUAGUGGCGCACGGGUGCGUAACGCGGGGGAACCUGCCCUUAGGUUCGGAAUAACUCCCCGAAAGGGGUGCUAAUACCGGAUAAUGUCUUCGGACCAAAGAUUUAUCGCCUUUGGAUGGGCCCGCGUUGGAUUCGCUAGUUGGUAGGGUAAAAGCCUACCAAGGCGACGAUCCAUAGCUGGUCUGAGAGGAUGAUCAGCCACACUGGGACUGAGACACGGCCCAGACUGCUACGGGAGGCAGCAGUGGGGAAUAUUGGACGAUGGGCGAAAGCCUGAUCCAGCAAUGCCGCGUGAGUGAUGAAGGCCUUAGGGUUGUAAAGCUCUUUUACCCGGGAUGAUAAUGACAGUACCGGGAGAAUAAGCUCCGGCUAACUCCGUG
rnacentral:rRNA from 1 species